GAUGAACGCUGGCGGCGUGCUUAACACAUGCAAGUCGAACGGUGACGAUCGAGCUUGCUUGGUCUGAUCAGUGGCGAACGGGUGAGUAACACGUGAGUAACCUGCCCCAGACUCUGGGAUAACCCCGGGAAACCGGAGCUAAUACCGGAUACGACACCAGGCUGCAUGGCCAUAGUGUGGAAAGUUUUUCGGUCUGGGAUGGACUCGCGGCCUAUCAGCUUGUUGGUGAGGUAAUGGCUCACCAAGGCGACGACGGGUAGCCGGCCUGAGAGGGCGACCGGCCACACUGGGACUGAGACACGGCCCAGACUCCUACGGGAGGCAGC
rnacentral:rRNA from 1 species